CAUUGCUUGUCAUGCAGAACACAAAAUGCUGCUUGAACAUUUGUAGUCGCACACUCCUCUGACAGAAUAAUGGAUUCGUUCUUUCUGCCAGGGUAAAUCACCAGCAGCCCUUGUGCCCAGGCAAAGAUUGCAAAAAAGGACCUGGUGCCUCUGACCUUUGGGUAACAAUUCAGUUUAAGAAAUCAUCAUCUGUGUUACAUGCGUGCUGAUCACAGAUGUGUUACUCCUUUGGUCGCUUGGAUACCCAGAGAUACAGCAAACAGGCAGGACCUUCUCUCUAAGGGCCCCAAACCUGGCAGAAGAAUUGGAAAGACUUUGGGAAGACUGAUGGGUGACC